GUCUAUGGCCACACCACCCCGAAUGCACCUGAUCUCAGAAGCUAAGCAGGGUCGGGCCUGGUUAAUACUUGGAUGGGAGAAGAGUUCUACUUUUGUCU
rnacentral:rRNA from 1 species